GCCACUGUAGCUGAGUUGGUUCAAGCGCUGGACUGAAAAUCCGGAGUACGUCGGUUCGACCCCGACCGGUGGCA
rnacentral:tRNA from 1 species